GAGAGAGAGAGAGAGAGAGAGAGAGAGAGAGAGAUGUGCUAAAUUCACUAUAUACAUGCAGAUGGAUACCCUCUUUCGCCUCAGUCCGGGGUUCAACUCGCGUCCCGUUCAGCAGCUGCGUUUGAACAGCACACUAGACCGACCGACCAUCUAGACCAUUUAAAAAAAAUGGCUUAUCUUACUACGGUGUGAGAUUGCUACUCGGUCAUUGAAAAAGGAGAGAAGAUAUGUUACAUUUAUUUGACGUCCAUUUAAGAGGAUUGUGCAUAUUAUGAUGCAUAUUGCACCUGGAAUAUCUUUAUAAAGCACUAGAUUGUAAUUAACUCUUAACUCAACAUAACUGUCUGAAUGAAUAUUGAAUAUACACAGUGAAUAUUGAAUAUUGAAUAUAUACAUUGUACGUUGAUUACCACAUAAAGGUUAGAAAGGAGAACGUGGGUUAUAUUUUUUCUCCGAAUGGUGCAGAUGUGCUGUAAUCAAUGGGUGUCACUUAAUGGACAAUUCUAUAUGCUUCCGCUCUACCGCAUUCAAAUCUUCACAGCGUUCUCAAAAUCUUUUAUUUGAAUAGAGAUUUAUCAUUUCCUUAUUCACAUACUCAAGGGCAAAUUAACCACGAAUAUCUAAACAUUAAAAGUACAUUAAAUCAUCAUGUAUCUUCCUUUCUACAAACUAUCAGUUAACCCAAACCACACAAACACGGCCAGAGAGUGCAGAGCAGGUUGCGGUUGAACUAAAUCCAUCUCCUAUACAAAUUACAUGUGUUAAUUAGGUACAACUUUAGCUACAAUUAUUUACGAGCCAAUUUGCACACUGAAAAAAUAUACUAUGAAGACAUUGAGAGCAUUUUUUUUAAAUAAAUAAAAAAAACCACGAGAUGCGGGACAUUGUAAAUAAUGAAUCAACGCGUCUGUAUUGAUAUAUACAUGCAGUCUAUGCGCGAAGAAGCCGCACAACGGGUCAUUAAAAUGUUUAUUAUAGUAUUCUACAUUAUUUCACAUGAAUAUGGAUUAAUGCAAUUAUUAUCAAGUAAUUGUGAAUGUAAUAAAAUAAAAUAUGCUGGUGUUUAUGUAUAUACGUCGUAGUGGCUUUUUAACAAUUCAAAAAGACUCCCAUUCAGAUAUUAGAGGACAUGGUUCCGGGUUCAAUGUGUAAUUGAGUGCAUGGAGGAUGAGGAAAAAUCAAUGCAGUUUAUGAAUUGUACUUGUUACGAAAAUAGACCACAGUUUGUUGUAUCAUUCAACACAUCGGUAGUAUUGAACAAUAUGUGUUUGAAUUAGGAAAUGUUACUGGAAAAUUCCACAUUUGCGUCUCUGUCGUUUCACCGAUUUUGUCGUCCUCCUUUCAUCUCACAAAUAUUCAUUUUUUGCGCAGACGAUAUUCAGACUUCCGGGGGGUGAAGCCGUGUUCAAAACGAGUUUCAUACUGUUUUAUUUUUUUUAUGCAGUGAUAAUAAGACAUCUAUUGUUUUUUAGAAAUAUUGCGGUGAUGUAAUCGUGCACUUUAAACAAUGGAUAGAGCACAUGGAGUAUUGAAAAAUUGAUUUGUUUACACAUCUGCUUACAAAGUCAUCUUUCUGUGUAAUAGAAUGUUUGACUCUUUGACGAUCGGAAUGAGCCUUCGCAUGAAUGAUGCACGUCACGUAAAACAACGACUAGGUGUAAGAAGCGUUGUCAUUGGACGGACGGUCACACCUCGUACACUACACACCGAAGGUUCGCAACUAUAAAUAGACCGUUCAUUCAACAUGGACAUCACAUUAGGUGAAGACCUCAUUUCGAGAGAACGGUGUGAGGGAAUUUGUGAAUAUUCAUGAUGCAGACCUUUCCCAGCUCAUUACCAGCCUUUGCUAUAAUUUUCAUAUUAGUCGUUUCUGCAACUGUCAGUAUAGUACACACAGCACCAAUGGAUUAUAAAAUUUCAUACACGGGGGGAUGCAAACAAACGAAAAUCACUGAUGGAUUGAAGUGUGCCAGGGAAUUCGAUAAGCUUUGGCACAGCAGGAAAACGAAGCAUUGUCCUAUGCAAAUCAUAAUUUGUAUGUUUCAUUUCCAUAUAGGAGACUACGAUUUUUUGAAAGGACGUGUGGACACGAUGAGAUAAUACCAGGAGGAGAAUUCCAUACGAGAAGUUUCAUUUCAUAUCAUCGGACAUUGUAUUUAUUACUCUUGAAGUAGAUUAACAUUAUUUCAAUUUUACCGACUAUUUGUUAUGCAAUGUUUUGAGUUUGUUGAUGAAUCCAUCCAAGUGCCAAGUUGUUGCUUUUUUGAUACUAUGAUUAUUUUUAUAAUAAAAGUGCGAAACCCUUAA